rnacentral:rRNA from 1 species
UACGUAGGGGGCAAGCGUUGUCCGGAAUCAUUGGGCGUAAAGCGCGUGUAGGCGGUCCGGUAAGUCGGUUGUGAAAGUCCAGGGCUCAACCCUGGGAUGCCGACCGAUACUGUCGGACUAGAGUUCGGAAGAGGCGAGUGGAAUUCCCGGUGUAGCGGUGAAAUGCGCAGAUAUCGGGAGGAACACCAGUGGCGAAGGCGGCUUUCUGGCCUGUUCUUGACGCUGAGGCGCGAAAGCCAGGGGAGCAAACGGG